UUCCGCCCUGAGUGAAAGCGACUUCCGUUCUGCGGCAGAGUCGCUUCCGCCUGCGUGCCGGGUGGUUGCUGCUUUUUAAUCCUGUUUGUAGAGGCGGUUGCCCUGCCCGUUUUAGUGAUGGCAGAAAGGGGAAGAGCACUCUUUCCAGAGUCUCAAUAUCUUUUUUAUUAAUAUGGUGAACAAAACUGGAUGCAGCAUUCCAGAAAGAAGACGUUUCACAGAAGCUCGGAGGUAGUCACUUUGAAGUGUCUCCAUUUUUCAAAACGAAGGAGAAUUUGGGAAUUUUACAGUCAAUUUCAUCAGAUGCAUUGAAGAGGAAUGGCGACAGUGAAUAAUGUAUAGAAUCUAUAGUAUUCUAGAUUGAGUUGUGCCUUCAUUCCAGAAAUCCAGUUGAUACCUGGUUUACUCACAGAACUUUGGGAAUUUUAGUGAAAUCACUUUUUUUAAAAAAAUCACAUGCAAACAAAGAACGAAGCAAAUCCACAAAAGCAUAAAGUGCUACUACAUCAAAAAGCUGAUCCUACAGUUAAAUUCAUAUUUAUUCUCAGCCCUUUAAGAUAAUCCCCUCGAGGUAUUGUACAACGGUGUAGUCUAGAAAUAGAAAUGCAAUAAAAAUUAUUUGAAAACA